rnacentral:ncRNA from 1 species
UCAGUGCCUCCCGAAAGGGAGGGUAAAAGGGAACCGGGUGAAAAUCCCGGGCGAUCCGGUCACUGUCAGCGGGGAGCGGUGCGGCAAACCAUUGUGCAGGCGCACGAGAAGGUCCGCACGGAGCGACGAUCCGCAAGCCAGGAAACCUGCUGAGAGAA